rnacentral:rRNA from 1 species
GAUGAACGCUGGCGGCGUGCUUAACACAUGCAAGUCGAACGAAGCUCCUGUAAAGAUUUCUUCGGAUUGACUUAUAGGAUGACUUAGUGGCGGACGGGUGAGUAACGCGUGAGGAACCUGCCUUGCAGUGGGGAAUAACAGCUGGAAACGGUUGCUAAUACCGCAUAAUACGAAGAGAUCGCAUGAUUUUUUCGUCAAAGAUUUAUCGCUGUGAGAUGGCCUCGCGUCUGAUUAGCUGGUUGGUGGGGUAACGGCCUACCAAGGCGACGAUCAGUAGCCGGACUGAGAGGUUGAACGGCCACAUUGGGACUGAGACACGGCCCAG